UCGGCAAUGGGCGAAAGCCUGACCGAGCGACGCCGCGUGUGGGAUGAAGGCCCUCGGGUUGUAAACCACUGUCAACGGGGAGGAAAUACAGAAGAGCUAUCCCUUUUGUUUGACCUAUCUGUGGAGGAAGUACGGGCUAAGUUCGUGCCAGCAGCCGCGGUAAGACGAACCGUACAAACGUUAUUCGGAUUUACUGGGCUUAAAGGGUGCGUAGGCGGCUUGUUAAGUAGGGUGUGAAAGCCCCCAGCUCAACUGGGGAAUUGCAUUCUAUACUGGUGAGCUAGAGUGAGAUAGGGGUGUGUGGAACUGCCAGUGGAGCGGUGAAAUGUGUUGAUAUUGGCAGGAACGCCGGUGGCGAAAGCGACACACUGGGUCUCUACUGACGCUGAGGCACGAAAGCCAGGGGAGCGAACGGGAUUAGAUACCCCGGUAGCCCUGGCCGUAAACGCUGAGUACUCGUUUGGAGCGACUGCGGUCGCUGCAGACUUAGAGAAAUCGUUAAGUACUCCGCCUGGGGAGCAUGGUCGCAAGGCUGAAACUCAAAGGA
rnacentral:rRNA from 1 species